UCAAAAUUUAGCUAAUCUUCAAUAACACCAUGGGGCGAGUUCCAAAACCAUUCAUUAUUGUCCUCCUAACACUCAUUGUGUGUUCCUAUUCACAAGCUCAUCGAAAUCUUCGAGAAUCACCUGGAGGUCCUGACCCAAUACAUCAUGGAAUUGAGGAUCCAAUGAAUAGUGAAGCUUAUGGAAUCUAUCGAGAAUCUUCCGGAGAUGCAGACUCAAUACAUCAGAAAAUAAAGGAUCAUAUGGGAGCGAAAGCCUUUAAAAUAUAUCGAGAAACACCUACAGGUCCAAAUCCAAUACAUGACUAGAAUGACGAAUCAGCUUAGGAUCUAAGGAAAAGACACCAAGAAGAAUCGAUCAUUUACAUUACUCCUUGCAUAUUUGUCUAUUCUUAGAUCAAAUAAAUAAAUAAAUAAACUGUUUAUGUGAUUCUCUAAAAAUCUUAUUUAGAGUAGUCAUUGAAGUGGUAUGCAUGGAAAAUAUGUGUUCUUGAUAAUAUGGGCUAUCAAUUUCGAAGCAAAAAUAUAAAUUCUAAGGAAAAUAUACAUAAAUGAUGUUAUUAUUAAAAUAAAUUAGUCGAUGAUAGUGUCGGAAGGCUCUCCAUUCAAAUAUCUGUUCAUAUCUCUCUUGCACCCGACAUAAUUGAUUCUUGAAAAUCACUUUGAAUGUUUUCCUUAUGGUGAGGUGAUUCAAUUUGAUCCAUUAUGUGUAGAUAUUUUACUGGGCUAAGAAUUAUCAAAGUUAUAAAUUUAGUAUGGAACUCGAAUUCUAUAUGUGCAAUUGAGCUAUACUAAGAAUUAAUCCUAUUCAAGUUUAUAUAUAAACCUACGCAAGACUCUAUAUAUCUUUCAAUAAUGUUUAGUCCAUGGCAAUUGAACUUGAUAAUUACUAUUUCAGUAAUGAAUUCUACAUCUUAUCGGACAAGUUUGCUUCUAAUCGAACUAGGUUCGUUUCUAAGUACACCUACUAACUUUUCAUAAAUUAUAUUCAAUAUCUUAAUCAAACAUGACCAAUCCCGGAUGAGGCAAUUGAACACUGCCAUAAUUGUGUGUCUUUUCAAAAUAAAAUAGGUUUUUUUUCUUCCGAAAUGAAUAAUAGAAAAAUCAAGCAUUGAUGUUGAUUACCAUUUGGAAACAAGGAAUUACAAAAAAUUAAAAUCAUUUAAUAAGUCUAAUCAAUACCUAUGCAAAAAAGAAAAAACAAGCCCUAACGCCACUACUUCAAAGGAGCAUGCUUUUUUCGUGUGAUAAUCAUAAUUUUUAUAUCACUUCUUUGUUCAUUUAUAAUAUACAUGAUUUAAUUGUUUUUUUGCUUUACAAUUUUAUUAGAUAUUUAAGGGUGCCAUUAAUGCAACAUUAGAGGGUUUUAAAAUUAUCCAUUAUUUUUUAAAGUUACAUAUCAUAACUGAUAUCAUUUAAUUAAUAUGGUAUUUGGAUUGUUAUAUAAGAUAUUAAUUUUAAUAUUUGAUGCAUAUGGUAUUUAAGGAUUGAAAAAUUCAUCUUUCAAAUUUCAACAUGUAUGACUUCCAUUCCCAGACAAAUGAAUUACCAAAUGGUAGAAGGAAAUGAGUUCUUUAUAUUUACAUUAGGAAAAAUUAACACAUUUCUAUUACAUUAUUUUAUCGACCAAACAUGACCUAAUUUUAACAAACAUUUAAAUGAAAUUCACCAUGAUUCAAAUUUCGAGAUAUAAAUUAGUAAAAUAUUGUAUUUUUCCUUUGACUUUCUUAUAGAUUUCAAAUUUUAUAGAAAUAAUUCAUCAUGAUUAUCAAGUAAUUAGUAUUCAAGGAGGAACAAAUGAAAAAAAAAAAAAAGAAGGACAUCUUGCUAAAGGGGACUUUCCUAAUUGUAUUUUGUUCUAGUGUGAGAGGUAAAAUAAUUGCCUAGUUUAAAACUUAUGGCAAAAAAUGGAAUUUUAUAUUUUUUUUUAUUGUAAGCAUCACAUUUUUAUUGUUAUCUUCAAUUGUUAUGUAAUUAAGCGGCGUAUCGUGAUUGCACCAACAAAAGGAAAAAAAUUCCCCGCAAAUAUCUUCCUUGAAAUUCUUUUCUUAUCAUAUCAAAUGGUAUUAAUAGAAAAGUAUCUCUUACAUUUUGAAUAAUAAAUACAAGAUUUUCUCCCAAAUUAUCUCUCAUAUGUGGGAACAUUAAACCAUAUAGAAGCCCAAAUCCAGAUGGAUUACUUACGAUUCUUUGGGAUUUAAAAUUUAAGUACAAGAAAAUAGUAGAAGAACAAAGAUAUCCUCUACUUGAAUUCUUAGAUCUAAUUCUUAAUGUUUCGCAUCUAAUUCUCAAAUCUAAAAAUCUAAACUUAUAUUCUCAAUAAAAAUCCCUUUAGUAUCAUUUAAAUUUGGCUUAUAAAUAGAGAAACUUGUUACCAUUCCACUCAAAUCAAAAUUUAGCUAAUCUUCAAUAACACCAUGGGGCGAGUUUCAAAACCAUUCAUUAUUGUCCUCCUAACACUCAUUGUGUGUUCCUAUUCACAAGCUCAUCGAAAUCUUCGAGAAUCACCUGGAGGUCCUGACCCAAUACAUCAUGGAAUUGAGGAUCCAAUGAAUAGUGAAGCUUAUGGAAUCUAUCGAGAAUCUUCCGGAGAUGCAGACUCAAUACAUCAGAAAAUAAAGGAUCAUAUGGGAGCGAACGCCUUUAAAAUAUAUCGAGAAACACCUACAGGUCCAAAUCCAAUACAUGACUAGAAUGACGAAUCAGCUUAGGAUCUAAGGAAAAGACACUAAGAAGAACCGAUCAUUUACAUUACUCCUUGAAUAUUUGUCUAUUCUUAGAUCAAAUAAAUAAAUAAAUAAACUAUUUAUGUGAUUCUCUAAAAAUCUUAUUUAGAGUAGUCAUUGAAGUGGUAUGCAUGGAAAAUAUGCGUUCUUGAUAAUAUGG
rnacentral:lncRNA from 1 species